rnacentral:rRNA from 1 species
AUUGAACGCUGGCGGCAGGCCUAACACAUGCAAGUCGAGCGGAUGAAGGGAGCUUGCUCCUGGAUUCAGCGGCGGACGGGUGAGUAAUGCCUAGGAAUCUGCCUGGUAGUGGGGGAUAACGUCCGGAAACGGGCGCUAAUACCGCAUACGUCCUGAGGGAGAAAGUGGGGGAUCUUCGGACCUCACGCUACCAGAUGAGCCUAGGUCGGAUUAGCUAGUUGGUGGGGUAAAGGCCUACCAAGGCGACGAUCCGUAACUGGUCUGAGAGGAUGAUCAGUCACACUGGAACUGAGACACGGUCCAGACUCCUACGGGAGGCAGCAGUGGGGAAUAUUGGACAAUGGGCGAAAGCCUGAUCCAGCCAUGCCGCGUGUGUGAAGAAGGUCUUCGGAUUGUAGAGCACUUUAAGUUGGGAGGAAGGGCAGUAAGUUAAUACCUUGCUGUUUUGACGUUACCAACAGAAUAAGCACCGGCUAACUUCGUG